rnacentral:sRNA from 1 species
UUUAACUGGAAAAUACUACAUCAUCUCGAUGUUAGAA